rnacentral:misc_RNA from 1 species
CACCUCCUAACACUAGCUAGGCUAGCCACCGCCACAACUUGUUCCUCUAUAACAAGUUUAGGACUCUGAUUUCUGCAAAUUCCUUAACCCAAUUCGUGGAAUUUGUUUAGAAUCGUUUCCAUGAGAUUUAUUAUCACCUCAGCUUUCUUCUUUCUGGUUCUUUUUUCUUGUGCAGCUGCAUAUGAUCCCUUGGAUCCAACUGGUAAUGUCACCAUCAGAUGGGAUAUCAUGGCUUGGACUGCAGAUGGCUACACGGCUACGGUGACAUUGUACAAUUUCCAAACGUUCCGGCACAUCAUGGACCCUGGCUGGACUAUAGGCUGGGCAUGGGCGAAGAAAGAAAUAAUAUGGUCCAUGACUGGUGCUCAAGCCACGGAGCAAGGCGACUGCUCCAAGUUCAAAGCGAACAUUCCUCACUGCUGCAAGAGAACUCCUGCAGUUGUGGACUUGAUGCCCAAUGCUCCGUACAACCAACAAUUCGCGAAUUGCUGCAAAGGUGGAGAAGUGUCAGCAUGGGGCCAAGAUCCUGCAGCUUCUAUCUCCCAGUUCCAAAUUACUGUUGGCUUAGCUGGCACUUCAAAUAAGACCGUUAAACUUCCCAAAAAUUUCACCUUGCUCGGCCCAGGACCUGGAUACACUUGUGGCCCUGCAAAGCUUGUGCCUUCCACCAAGUUUCUCACUCCGGAUGGACGCCGAAAAACUCAGGCCCUGUUGACAUGGAAUGUAACCUGCACAUAUUCACAAUUCCUGGCUAGGAAAAACCCAAAUUGUUGCGUCUCUUUCUCAUCCUUCUAUAAUCAGGAAAUCACUCCCUGCCCCACCUGUGCUUGUGGUUGCCAAAACAAUAACACUUGUAUCAAUCGUGAUUCCAAAAUUCUUAAAGUGGUGGAAGCAAACAAUUCAAAGAGAGAAAACACCUCACUCCUGCAAUGCACACACCAUAUGUGCCCAAUUCGAGUUCACUGGCAUGUGAAGGUCAAUUAUAAGGAGUACUGGCGUGUGAAGAUUGCGAUAGUAAAUUUCAACUACAGGAUGAACUACUCAGUCUGGUCACUCGUUAUCCAGCAUCCGAAUCUCAACAAUGUAACGCAAGUUUUUAGCUUCAAUUACCAGCCUCUCAUUCCCUAUGAGUCGAUAAAUGACACAGGGAUGUUCUACGGCAUGAAAUAUUACAAUGAUGUGUUAAUGCAAGCAGGACCUUUAGGAAAUGUUCAGUCAGAAGUGCUUCUUCAGAAGGACUUGAAUACCUUCACUUUCAAGCAAGGAUGGGCAUUUCCACGGAAAGUCUACUUCAAUGGCGAUGAGUGCAUGUUGCCCCCUCCGGAUACAUACCCUUUUCUGCCAAACUCUGUCCAUGGAUCCCUGAUUUCAUUCUUGACAUUAACUUCUGCAUGGUUUUCCUUGUUAAUCUUUCUUUCGUAAUUUUAGUUAUUUUGAAGAUGGUAGUGCUGGAAGUUUGUUUGAAGCAGGGGGUUCCAUUGAUGAAAAAAAAAAGUCACUUGGACUCAAAAUUUAUUGAAAGAAAUUGAGUUGUUUUUGUAAUUAUGAAUAUAAAAAAAGAACUGCCAUACCAAU